GCUGUAGCUCAGUGGUAGAUCAUCUGCUUGGUAUGAGGAAGGUCUCGGGUUCAAUCCCUGGCAGGGAUG